ensembl:lncRNA
AUAACACACGUACAAAUCUUUUUCUUUCCUCGUUUUCUUUCUAGUUAAGUUUGGGGUAAUCCAUACAUUUGUAUUCUAGUUGGCACUGAUAUUGAAGGUUUUCUGCAUUUUGUGUGAGUGUUUCUUCAUGUACUUCUCCUUCUCCUCCUCAACACAGCAUGUCCCUGUGUGGGAGACAGAAUGAUUGAUCAGACAGGAGAGAGGGGCCUGUUCCCAUAGAGACCGCAGGCUUCGCUAAGAAGAUGGCCCUGGUCUCUGAGCAGGCACACAGCCUGUCCACUGCCCCAGAAUUGAGCCAAUCUCUACCACAGUGUGGUACCAAGUACUGCUGAUCCCAGGCAUACAGGAUGUACUGUGUCCGUCCAAACACCAGCAGAAGAACUGGGGCCUGCUGGUUCCGGGGCAGAAAAAGGUGUUGUAUGAGUAUGAGGAAUUUAUCCACCUGCUGCCAAACCAGAGAGUAGUGGCAUCGUGGCACCAAGCCUCAGGAGAGGAGAGAAAACAGCUCGGGUGUCAGAAGAGACAACUUAGGAAACUAGGGCCGACUAGUAGGAUCUCAGUUUUGUGAUAACAUCGUAGCCACUCAUGCACAACAAACAUGCUCAAUGCCGGAUCCUCAGGGACUCAUUUACCUCCCUGAGAACUCUCCUCUUCCUCACAAGCUCUACGUCACCGCCGCCUCUGCUGGGAUUUGAGUCUGGUCCCGAGCAUAGAGAUGUGGAGGAGUGAGAGGGAGUCUGGGGAUUAGGCUGCUGCUGCUGCUGAGAGAUGCCUGAGGAGCAGGAGGCCCAGAAGAGGCCGGCACCACCCUCUGCUGUGAAAGGGUUUCAGACUCAAUGGACACUGGCAUCUGAGAGCUGAGAGCUGAGAGCUGAAGAUGGAUAUCAGUAUCACCUGGAGAAAAUGGCGAGGGAAAGAGACUGGGGAAGGAGAAGGUCAAAGAACCUUAGACAGCAUGGGAGGG